UACGGAGGGUGCAAGCGUUGUUCGGAAUCACUGGGCGUAAAGGGCGUGUAGGCGGUCCGCUAAGUCUGAUGUGAAAGCCCGGGGCUCACCCCCCGGAAGGGCAUUGGAAACUGGCGGACUCGAGUCUCGGAGAGGAAGGUGGAAUUCCUGGUGUAGCGGUGAAAUGCGUAGAUAUCAGGAGGAAUACCGGUGGCGAAGGCGGCCUUCUGGACGAUGACUGACGCUGGAGACGCGAAAGCGUGGGGAGCAAACAGG
rnacentral:rRNA from 1 species